rnacentral:rRNA from 1 species
UACGUAGGGGGCAAGCGUUGUCCGGAAUCAUUGGGCGUAAAGCGCGUGUAGGCGGCUGAGUAAGUCUGCUCUGAAAGCCCGGGGCUCAACCCCCGGGAGGCGGGUGGAUACUGCUCAGCUCGAGUCCGGAAGAGGAGUGUGGAAUUCCUGGUGUAGCGGUGAAAUGCGCAGAUAUCAGGAGGAACACCAAUGGCGAAGGCAGCACUCUGGGACGGUACUGACGCUGAGACGCGAAAGCCGUGGGGGAGCAAACAGG